rnacentral:lncRNA from 1 species
AUAGAGCAUUUCACAACUAGAGCUUAUCUUACCCCAACUUGUAUUGGGAUGAGAGAGCUGGAAUGAGGGAGCUUGCCUAAGGAGGGCUUAGACGAGGGAGGAUACCACAUUCUCACUCUGCUGUCUUUCCUCUAUCAAGUGUCUUACUGGGAGGCUGUGGACCGAUGCCAGGUGACGUGAUAGACAGCUACUGGACUAAUUUGCAAAGCGAAUUUCUGAAGUCAGAUUUUUUGCUUGAUAUGGAUUCCAUCUUCAGAGAAGAUGUGGAAACUGAGACCCAGAGAAAUUCUCUUACCUGCCCAUGCUCACAUGAUGACAGUGACCCGAACCUGGGCCCUCUGGUUCCAAGCUUGGUGCUCUUUCCACCACCACAGGCAAAGCCAUCACAGCCUCUGUCAUGGAUGCUGGAUAAUUGGGAUUCGUUGCACAACCUACAUUCUCUGAAAGAUGAUUGACAUCCCUGCAGUUUGUACUGUGUGAAAGUGGCCACGUUGUCAAAACCUGGGCAAACACAAUCUUCUCAAAAGGUUAAUUGGAAUUCAGUUGAAUACAAAGAACGAAGAGUUUUUCUCACAUACUUUUAAUACACAGUUUUAAAGUUAUGAUUGGAAUAAAGUAUUUUAUCUAGAUUAGCACUGACCACUUAUGGUAGCCACCAGCUAUGUGUGGCUAUAGAGCACUUGGAAUGUGGCUAAUCCAAAAUAAGGUAUGCUGUAAGUAUAAAAUAUGCACCAGACAUUUUAAAAUUGUUUUAUUAAGAAAAUGAAUGCAAAAUAACUCAUUAAUUUUUAACUGAUUACCUAUUGAAGCAAUAAUAUUUUGGACGUAUCGGAUUAACUAAAAUAUGAUAGUAAAAUUAAUUUUACUUUUUUUACUUUUUAAUGUGACUACUAGAAAAUAUAAAUUACAUGUAUGGCUCACAUAUUUCUACUGGGCAGCUUUGUUUUCAAAAAAGAUUAGAGGGUGACUCUUCUCAAACAGUUUAAUUAAUGUUAUUUGAAGCUCAUUAGAGUAUGUAUUUAUAUCUACAGCAUGUGAAAUAAAGAUAAUAAUGUCAUUUCAUACCAGUUCAUUUUAUAAUAAGCCCUACUGAUGCCUCUAAAAUAUGAAAUAAUUUCAGAAUAAUUUUGAUUUAUGUCUAA